UAAUGGAACAGAAGCAAAUAUUUAUAUUAGAAGUGCAGUUGAGGAUUUAAGGAUAGGUUUGUGUCCACUGUGGUUGGUAUUAUACGUCUGUUUGUCUGCCUUUACAUACAGGGUUUACUGUAGAUAAAUAACAUAUUUCAGUUCUGCUAAAUAUAAGUUUGGAAAUUCUCAUAAUUUUCAAGUGUCAUUUGACCAUAUUAAAUGAGAAAAAAACUUAAGAAAAAAAUCUUUUUUUACAAAGGAGACUGUAAUUGUUUCUUUUUCAGGUUUAGAAACAUAAAGCAUUUAAAAAGUAAAUUGCCAUUUAUACUAUAAUUUCUAUCCAUAUAAUUAAAAAUGCUGUGUAGAUUUAAUGAAGUAUCAAUAUUUCUGUUUUUUUAGAAAAAGCAAGGAGUUUAUUUAGCAUAUAUAUGCUUGAUCACAGUGCAGGAGGUUUUUGUACGGCCACUUAAUGAGUUUGUAUCACUGUGGUACACUUUUGGUGGAGGAACCAAACUCAUCAUUUACUCUGGCCCCAUGGUCAGGCCCUCAGUCUCUCUGCUUCCCCCCUCCUCUGAGCAGCUCUCUGGGGGCUCGGCCACGCUGGCCUGCCUGCUGACUGGCUACUCUCCUCAGGGAGCCGUGGUGAGCUGGGAGGUGGACGGUACAGAAGUGACAGAGGGGGUCCUGACCAGCUCAGAGGAGGAGAAGAGCGGACGCUACAGCAGCAGCAGCACCCUGAGCCUGAGCAAGGAGCGCUGGAUGGGAGGAGAGCUGUACUCCUGCAAGGUCCUCCAUCAUGACCACAGCCAGACACAGUCCCUCCACAGGAACCAAUGUAAGGGUUAGAGGGGCGGGCUGAAAUCUAGGACAGGAGCUCUGUGUGUGGGGAGCAGGAAGAACGCACCUACUGCUCUGAUCAAUAUGACUUUUAAUGUUUGUAGAGGAAACUAAAGCUUUGUGUAAUAGAGAACAACACAUUACUCUCUAAGUUGCUGCUGGAUAACAACAACUUAGAGAGUAAUGUGUGUAGCUCAGCAACUAGAUGUGAGUGUGCUUAAUAAUUGUCAUGUUGAUGACUAAUGAUUUUGCUAAUAAAGCUUGCACUGAUAAAUAUC